UAAGCUAUAGUGGUAACAUAGCAAGAUAA
rnacentral:piRNA from 1 species